rnacentral:rRNA from 1 species
AGAGCGAACGCUGGCGGCAGGCCUAACACAUGCAAGUCGAGCGCCCGUAGCAAUACGGGAGCGGCAGACGGGAUAGUAACACGUGGGAACGCGCCCUUCGGUUCGGAAUAACUCAGGGAAACUUGAGCUAAUACCGAAUACGCCCUUACGGGGAAAGAUUUAUUGCCGAAGGAACGGCCCGCGUCCGAUUAGCUAGUUGGUGAGGUAAUGGCUCACCAAGGCUACGAUCGGUAGCUGGUCUGAGAGGAUGACCAGCAUCACUGGGACUGAGACACGGCCCAGACUCCUACGGGAGGCAGCAGUGGGGAAUAUUGGACAAUGGGCGCAAGCCUGAUCCAGCCAUGCCGCGUGGAUGAUGAAGGCCUUAGGGUUGUAAAGUCCUUUUAACGGGAGAUAAUGACGGUACCCGUAGAAUAAGCCCGGCUAACUUCGUGCCAGCAGCCGC